GAGUUUGAUCAUGGCUCAGGAUGAACGCCGGCGGUGUGCCUAAUACAUGCAAGUCGUACGCACUGGCCCAACUGAUUGAUGGUGCUUGCACCUGAUUGACGAUGGAUCACCAGUGAGUGGCGGACGGGUGAGUAACACGUAGGUAACCUGCCCCGGAGCGGGGGAUAACAUUUGGAAACAGAUGCUAAUACCGCAUAACAACAAAGGCCACAUGGCUUUUGUUUGAAAGAUGGCUUUGGCCAUCACUCUGGGAUGGACCUGCGGUGCAUUAGCUAGUUGGUAAGGUAACGGCUUACCAAGGCGAUAAUGCAUAGCCGAGUUGAGAGACUGAUCGGCCACAAUGGAACUGAGACACGGUCCAUACUCCUACGGGAGGCAGCAGUAGGGAAUCUUCCACAAUGGGCGCAAGCCUGAUGGAGCAACACCGCGUGAGUGAAGAAGGGUUUCGCUCGUAAAGCUCUGUUGUUGGAGAAGAACGUGCGUGAG
rnacentral:rRNA from 1 species